CCCUUAGAUGUUCUGGGCCGCACGCGCGCUACACUGAUGCAUUCAACGAGCCUAGCCUUGACCGAGAGGUCCGGGUAAUCUUUGAAACUGCAUCGUGAUGGGGCUAGAUUAUUGCAAUUAUUAAUCUUCAACGAGGAAUGCCUAGUAAGCGUGAUUCAUCAAAUCGCGUUGAUUACGUCCCUGCCCUUUGUACACACCGCCCGUCGCUCCUACCGAUUGAGUGUGUUGGUGAGGAGUUCGGAUUGGUUCUUAGUGGUGGUUCGCCACCACCUAGAGCUGAGAAGUUCUCCAAACCGCCCCACUUAGAGGAAGGAGAAGUCGUAACA
rnacentral:rRNA from 1 species